rnacentral:rRNA from 1 species
GUGCCAGCAGCCGCGGUACUACCGGCAGCCCGAGUGAUGGCCGAUCUUAUUGGGCCUAAAGCGUCCGUAGCUGGCUGCGCAAGUCCAUCGGAAAAUCCACCCGCCCAACGGGUGGGCGUCCGGUGGAAACUGUGUGGCUUGGGACCGGAAGGCGCGACGGGUACGUCCGGGGUAGGAGUGAAAUCCCGUAAUCCCGGACGGACUACCGAUGGCAAAAGCACUCUGAGAAGACGGCUUCGACAGUGAGGGACGAAAGCUCGGGUCUCAAACCGGAUUAGAUACCCUGGUAGUCC